rnacentral:rRNA from 1 species
UGAGGAAUAUUGGUCAAUGGACGAGAGUCUGAACCAGCCAAGUAGCGUGCAGGAUGACGGCCCUAUGGGUUGUAAACUGCUUUUGUUUGGGAAUAAUCGACAUUACGUGUAAUGUUUUGCAUGUACCAUUCGAAUAAGGACCGGCUAAUUCCGUGCCAGCAGCCGCGGUAAUACGGAAGGUCCAGGCGUUAUCCGGAUUUAUUGGGUUUAAAGGGAGCGUAGGCCGUUUGGUAAGCGUGUUGUGAAAUGUAGGAGCUCAACUUCUAGAUUGCAGCGCGAACUGUCAGACUUGAGUGCGCACAACGUAGGCGGAAUUCAUGGUGUAGCGGUGAAAUGCUUAGAUAUCAUGAAGAACUCCGAUUGCGAAGGCAGCUUACGGGAGCGCAACUGACGCUGAAGCUCGAAGGUGCGGGUAUCGAACAGG